GGCUGCUCUUCUUCUCUCUUACCCUGAAGGGGAGCAUCUAUUUUCAGCUGUGUGGAAGAGAUACCCACAGGCAAAAAGGCAACAGCUGCAAUCCUGAGGAGCAUAAGGUGCUGUGGAGACAGUAGAAAAGUGAGGGAGUGCAAGUAAUGCUGCAGAGAAGAGGCCCAGAAGAAGGAGAAAAAAGUUGGAGGGAAAUUUGAAGCUGUGAUGUAAAUGGGAAGGAAAUGGCAACAGCAGAAGGUUUCUUUCUCAUCCUGUACAGUAAGAUAGGUGGAAGGGAAGAAAGUUCCAUAUCCAAAUAGUCAUGUAAAGUUGCAGCUACUUGCAUGAGCAUUUGCAGCUGAUUUUGCAUCUAAAAGAAUAAUUAUACACACCAGUAGAAGCAUGGACAGUUCAGAAGGUAGAUCGAGGACCUGAGGACUAUGAUCCGUCUUUUCUUCUUUCCACUUUCAAUUCUACAGUGAAAAAAAAUGAUUUCACAGUAUCUUUUUACCUGGCAGACAUCAUCCCAUGUCUGGAUCACAGAACUUUGCAUGCUCUCACAGG
rnacentral:lncRNA from 1 species